UGGGGACAUGAAAAUGUUUGUGCAUUGCAAUGCAGAAACUGUUCGCCUGUUAUGCUAGCCUUCUUGAAUUGUGCUGGUUCAGUAAAGCAGGUGUGCAGAUGUGAGUCUGUAUACCCUCACCUGUCUGCUGCUCGGCUGGAGAAGAAGGGAACUACGCAUUUUGCUACGUGUUCAGUAAGUAUGCACUGCGCACUGUUAGUUUUGAAGCUGAGCUCCUCUCUGUACUGAAACUGGGGUGGUCGGUUAUUACAUCAAAAAUAGCACACAGGCAGGAGGGUUCAUGGGGACGCAGGGUUCACACCCAGCGUUUCUUGUUGUGAUGUUUUAUUUAAGAAGUGGCACCACCUCACCAACGUGUUUUAGUUUCAAUAGCUUGCUUUUGUAUCAGCGGGGAAUUUCUGCCUCCUACUCCCUGUGUGGAGACACGAGCGCUCUGCUCUUCCACGAAACACUUUUGCAUAGCAGAGCCUCAGUUUUGCUGCAGCUGUGUGGAACCCCUUUCUGCCUAAAACCAAUUCUUAGAAUAGCCCUUGCCUCUGCAGCCAGGCCUGGCUCUGUGGCUCCCAGCAGCACGGAGCACACUUGCU
rnacentral:lncRNA from 1 species